rnacentral:misc_RNA from 1 species
GUAAAAAAAAUCUCUAAAAUUCUUAUAAAUAAGCUCCAAUACACCAAUUCAGGUAUGCUAUUCUCAAAACAUUUAUUAUAUUUUCAUUUUUAAAACUUCUUCUGAAUUACUAUCGUAUUGACCAUAUCUAGCCAUCGACCUCACAUUUAUCUAUAUUUGUAGGCUGUCCAAGAUUCAUUAAACCGAUUUGCUAACUCGGGAUUCACAGACAGCAGAACCCAGUAAAAAAAUGCAGAAACCAAAUUUGUAGAAGUUGUGAAUAUACAGCACAAACAGGAUAGGAGAUCAUUAUUGGAAUAGCCAAGUAUACAAACAACACACUUUCAACUGGAUGCACAGUAACAAGGACAAUACAAACAAUAAAUUAACUCUCCAUUUUAAAGAACGCACCUGAUUUUGCCCUGCACAUGAUUUUGCCCUUCAAAACUCCUAAAAAAUUUAUGCUUCCUUAAUUUCCGAUCAAAUUUUGGAUUCGAGUGAUUAUACCUGAAUCUCAUCAGUUGCUCUUAACCCAAAAAUUCGUAUCACCCGCUGGGUACUCUGCAGAAAAAAUUCCGUAACCGUGUUAACCAAAUUAUUCUCUGCAUCUGGAUUACUCUCUACCACAUCAGUGAAAUUACCAUCCCUUAACAAAUCCUGCACAUUUUCUAGUUUUUUGGUCACCCUAAUUCCCACCCUAUUACAAGAGCAGCAGUUCUUGGGACAGAAAAAUCUGAUACAUUUUUCUUGAAUUUCUUCCUCUGCAUCUGCAAUGAUUCGGCCAGUUUCCUUUUGAAACACAGUGACCCUGAAGUGCCAGUCCUUUACUUCGUGUCUUAUCUGCAUCCGUGGUCCAUUCUCUCGUCCGAUCCUCGAAAGUACGUGCUCCACCAAGUAUUCUAAGCGGUCAACUUCAUUUUUCAACUUUCCGAGAUUGUCUUCCAGUUCAGCGAAAUAAUCUCCGCGGCUGCAAACAAAACAAAAGGAGAGCUUGAUGACCUCUCCGAUGGCUGGAACAGUUGCUUGCACGGCUGCAGCUUCCAUGGCCCAAGGUAGUUGGAAAGAAAACCAGGGGGCUCAGCUCGUUUAGAAACACAAUAUCGAUUUGGAUCUAACAGAGAGUUGACCAGCAGGGGAGACUUCUCAGAGAUGUGAGAGAGAGAAGCGUAGCAUAUGUUUG